rnacentral:rRNA from 1 species
AUUGAACGCUGGCGGCAUGCUUUACACAUGCAAGUCGAACGGUAACAGGCCGCAAGGUGCUGACGAGUGGCGAACGGGUGAGUAAUGCAUCGGAACGUGCCCAGUCGUGGGGGAUAACGCAGCGAAAGCUGUGCUAAUACCGCAUACGAUCUGUGGAUGAAAGCGGGGGACCGAAAGGCCUCGCGCGAUUGGAGCGGCCGAUGUCAGAUUAGGUAGUUGGUGGGGUAAAGGCUCACCAAGCCAACGAUCUGUAGCUGGUCUGAGAGGACGACCAGCCACACUGGGACUGAGACACGGCCCAGACUCCUACGGGAGGCAGCAGUGGGGAAUUUUGGACAAUGGGCGCAAGCCUGAUCCAGCAAUGCCGCGUGCAGGAAGAAGGCCUUCGGGUUGUAAACUGCUUUUGUACGGAGCGAAAAGGCUCUCUCUAAUACAGGGGGCUCAUGACGGUACCGUAAGAAUAAGCACCGGCUAACUACGUGCCAGCAGCCGCCGCCGUAA